CCUGGGGGAUGGGAAUGGAGGGAAGAGGAGACAAAGAGGAGACAUGGGAGACUGAGUGCGUGGGAUGGAAUGCAGCAGGUCUGGAUAGUACUUGCAUCUCACCCCUGAUGAGGGUUCCCCUGAGCUGGCGGGGCCUCCAAGAGGGCCUUCUGCCCACCACGUAGCCUGCCACUCCUCCCACACACGUGAGCCAGCCAUUGCCUGGCAGGCCCUGUCACUUUCUCUGCAGUGGUUCAGCCUGGUAAGGUGUGUGUUCAUGUGGGUGGGGGGAUGGGCGGGGGCCCCAAUUCGGCUCUAGCCGGGCCCUCCACACUCUCAACCCUUGUGGGCCCCUGUCCAUGCAGCCCCCUACUUUCACGGACCUGCGGGGAUUCUGGACAGGUUGCUCCUCUUUUUCAGGCUUCGCAGAGCGCUGGGAACAACAGACGCGCAGACCUGCGGACAGACAGGAGACAGGGAGGCAACUCUCCUCCCCAGCCUCGCGGUCAACGUUUUUCUCUACGCACGGGAACGGCAGAGGGGGUUUACUUCCACUGUCUCACUACUGGGGCGUCCCCAGCCCACCAUCUCCGGCUCCAAAAUGGACGGAGGGCAGAAAAGAGGAUGUGCCUGGAAAGCGAGCAUGGAUACUUGGGGGUGCUCGCCUUCCUCACCCUCUGCCCACUGCCUACGUGCUCCCCCUCAGCCACCUUUAGCCGUUUUCCCACCGCCAUCUCUGUCCACACUCGGGCCAGCUUCCCUCGACUCAACCCGACCCCACCCCUAGCCUUUCGCGGUACUGUACCCGUUCCCCUUCCGCCAUUCCAGUAUUCCGCUGGCAGCGUGGAAGGCCCGCACACUGACCUGGAGGAAGCUGGACCAAGAAUUAGGAGCCCAGGAACUGGAGCAGACGGGACCCAGCCGCGGGGACAGAGGGCGGGCACUCGGACCGGUGCCCACAUCUGCGCCCGGGCAGAUCACGUGAAUGCCGCAGCACAGACGUUCCACCGCCCCACGCCCCACGCCCCGCCUCCUAGCCAGCCGCUUCCAGCUACCCACCACCUCUCUCCAGCAGGGUUCUGAAGCAAUUUCAUCCUGAUAUCAGUGCUACAUUAAAUUCCUUGGGCAUCAUGAAUGAUUUUCUUAUCGACAUCUUUGAGCACAUCACCACCAAGGCUGGCUGCCUGGUUGCUACACUGAGUGCUCCACUAUCACCUCCAGAGACAUCCAGAUCACCUGAGCCCGAUGCUGUCUGGGGAUAUCCACAAGCACACUGUAUUCAAAACCAAAGGUAACUGAUUCCUGUGACAGAGAAGGAGUGAGUGUGCAGAGAGGAUGGAAUUGCUUUUGUCAUGGAUGGCCCACCACAUGGAUGAAAAUAUCGGAAAUGGAGGGUAAGAAUCCCCCAGGAUAACUCAAUACCGAUGGUCCCUAACUUAUGAUGGUUCAACUUACGAUUUUUCCACUUUAUAAUAGGUUUAGUGAUGUAUUAAAUGCAUUUUUGAAUUAUGAUAUUUUCAACCUAAAGAUAGGAUUGUCAGGACAUAGCCCCAUCCUACGUUGAAGAGCAUCUGUAUAUGAUUCCAUUGAAUAAGUUUCUGCUUACUAACUAAGUAUAAGAUUCUUGUUCUGAUUCCUUGAAAUAACUCUGAGAUUCCUUAAAUGACAUAUUUUGGUGUCUCUAGGUCAUUCAGUUGCAUGAUUAUAGGCAGUCUCUUAGUUUUCUGCCACAGAUGACUGCUUAGCAUGAUAUGUGAGUUGUACAUGUUCCCCCUCAGAGGGCUGUCUCAUCACCAAGAGCUUUAGGAUAGCUCCCUGGGUCUCUGUGUACUGAUGAUACUCCUCUACUGUCACUUUUAAGCAAAUAAAAUUCCUGACAACAGAGUCAUGCUUUGUUUCCACAACCUGCAAAAUUCUUCCAAUUGCCUGGGUCCCAGCCUAGUUCCUCUAAUUAUUACUAUUAAGUUUUCUCAGGUGGUGGCCUGAAGAGUGAAGGUGUUUCACUUCCAGGGAAAGGUGAAGGCUUGAAGGGUAGGGUCGUGCAGAAGCAUUUUCGGUGUGGAGGACAAGCCUGCGCAUCGCGGUUACCAUAGUAACCUGAUGUCAUUUUGGCGACUGUGACAACCAUGACGACUUUUUAAUGGAGACUGACUUGGCCUGGUGAGGAGAGCAGGGUUUCGUCUUCAGGUGUUUAGACUCAACUGUGGCUGUGGGUACUCUGCGAUGUGGAGAGAGGAAGAGAUCCCAUAUCCAAGUUUCCUUGUUCCCGCUUUAGGACAAGUUGCCCUCGCUGUCUGAUGAGGCAGGGAGAAGUAGGACUCUCUUGGCCCCAAUGAAUGUGGUGUCCUGCUCCAGGGGUGUCCCGGAGCUACUUUCCAAGUAAAGGCAAGGUGCCAAAAAAUGAGACAGGUAAAUACUCUUUCUGAGCCUAGGGUCUUCCUCUGUGAAAUGGGGAUAAAAAUGCUCACCCACGGGAUUGCUGGAACCUUCAGUGAUACAGGUGCAAGCCGGUAGGUAGCCCUGUGGUUACUGCAGGAUGGUGAAUGUCUGUAUGAAUUCAGGCCUCUUAUUCCUUUUCAAAUUUGUUGUUGGGAGAUAGAUGGGAAAAGGAGAAGAAAAAGGCCCUGGUGAGAAACCCAUUGUAUCUCUGGUUGUUAUGAUCACUACCCAAUUGUAUCAUUGUCAUUGGUCACUGACUCAGUGCCUAGCUUAAUGCCUGGCACAUAGUUACUCUAAGAAAGUACAGUGAUUGCUGGAUUCUCUCUGUCCCUGUGCAGCUCUUCAUCAGGUGACUGAGCUCAUAUCAAGUGUCUGAAGAAGGUGGGUUUUGAGGAUCUGGGUCAUGAUGAUUGCUGAAGCUUCUAUUCCAGAUUUGAAGGGCAGCAGUACUAAGGAGACCCCCAACACUUCCUUCCCUGGUGGGAUAUGACACCUGGCUCAAGUGAGCUCAUAAAUCUGGGCAGAAGCAUGUUGUGGAAUAGCCCUGUGAGGUGUAUAAAAUAGCCUACAAGCAGAGAAACUCCUUUCAUCUCGUCAUUGGAGAAGAGGUUUAGCAGGUGGAAUUUCCUUCCAUCAGCAGUUAUGUGCUUUGUGGUAGCUUUUGAGGCCCAUGUUAAAGAUGCCUUUCAUUGUCACAAAGCAAUGAAUAGUUCAUUUGGGGAAGCAACUUGAUGUUUAACAUGUAUUUGCAAUAAAUUUACAUAUAUUUUUCUGUCUAUAUAAAUAAUCAUCAGUGAUUCCUAUGUAUCUCUCAAAUGGAUAUGAAAAUAUGCAGUCGUUAGGUCUUUCUAGCAUUUUGAGAUUGUAAUAUAAAUUAUAUAAAUUAUUUCCUGGUGACCAUGGUAUUUUUCCAUCCUAUAAUAAUUUUUUAAGCCAGAGAUUUUGCAAGUGUUAGUUAAAAUGUCAGUUGCUAUACCUUAAUAGUUUCAGAAAUAAGAAUUACCCCAGAAUUCGCUCUAUUAUAAUGAUACUAAGACAUGUUCCCUAAAAUAAACAGUUACUCUUAAGUAUCAUCAUCAUUAUUUUCUUAGAAUGUAAUAUUUUUAUUUUUGUACUUCAAAAAGAAAUGAACAUCCACUUUUCCAAAAAUAUUUAAACAUUGCAAGUGAUUAUUAUGGUUAUAUGUAGUGCAGAACGAUUGGAUCAGACAUAGUAAGGAUCCAUUAAUAUAAUAAGAGUGUAGUAGUGGGAAUCUUUUGGCUCAUUAAUUUAAUUGCAUCAAAAACUUAUUAUUAUACAAAUGUAUUUCAAAUACUUUCUUUGAGCCACAUUGACAUACAAUAUACUGUACAUGUUUAAAAUAUAUAGUUUAAUAAGUUUUAACAUAUGUAUGCUCUGGUGAAUCCAAUAUUAUAGUCAAGAUAAUGAACAUAUUCAUCGCCUCAAAAAGCUUCCUUAUGCCCCUUUGUAAUCCUCUCCAUCUAUCUGUCUCUAGCUUCCCUCUCCAUGCCAACCUGUCCCAUUCCCGGACAAUCACUGGUCUCCUCUUACCAUAGAUUAGUUUUUGUUUCUUGCCCUUUUAAGUAAAUGGAAUCAUAGGAUGCUUAUUCUCUUUUUUCUGACCUAAUUCAUUUGUUAACCCCCCAAAAAAGUGACUGAGGCAAGUGUCUCAAUCACUAGAGGUUUAUUGAGCCAAAGUUUGAGGACGUGCCUGGGAAAAUUGCAAGUCACAGGAGCAUCCCUGACUUGUACUUUACAAAGAGGGUUUUGGGAACUCAGUAUUUAAGGGCAGAGAGCAAGAGGGAAAAAGGGAGGGAGGGUAGGCAGUGAGGCAAAUGGUUACAUUCUUCUGAGGUGCUAAUUAGCACUCAGUAAAUCUGAGUUUUACAUAAUAUAAGAUUUGAAAAGAGAGAGGAAAGAGUCGAUUAUAUAUUCAUUUCAGAGUAGGUAGAAGAGUGAUUGAUCUUGUCUUUGUUCUGGGAAGGUAAGCUUGUAAUUGACACUGUCAGUGUAAGAUUUAACAGAACUCAGUUUUAGGAGUUAAACUUUGGUUGCAGACCUAAGGUUACGAUUGGCAUGUGUUGGUUUUAUAGGGGGAUAUGUAUCCUGAAAGAUUUAGGGGCUAGCAAGAAAUUUCCUUGUGAGCAACAUUUGAGGAAGGUCAUCUGGGAAGGUAUAAUGCUUUUUACUGUUGUGGGAAUCUGGUUUAUGUAUUAUGCUAUGACACAGGGUUGUGAAAUUGCAGCUAUCUGGGGACAAAGGUUGGUAAUGUUGCACAAUUCAUUUCCCAGGCUUAACUUUUCCCUUGGCGUGAUGAAUUUGGGGAUCCUGAAGUUUCAUGUUAUUUUACAUAUUUGACCUAAUUAUUUUUAGAUUUAUCCAUAUUGUUGUAUGUAUGAAUAGUUCCAAAUUUGUUCAUUUAUGCUUUGGAUGUUGCUAUUUGUGUCAUAUCUAAAAAAUCUUCACUAAAGCUAAGAUCGCAACAAUUUUCUGUUAUGUUUUUUUCUUGAAAAUUUAUAGUUCUGGCUUUUACAUUUAAAUCUUCUUUUAAGAUCCACUUUGAGUUUUUUAAUGAUGUGAUAUAUAGAUAAAAGUUUAUUUUUGUUAUCUACCUGUUCCAGCACAAGUUGUUGAAAGGUUGAUCUUUUCUGCACUGAAUUGUCUGCAUUGUUGUCAAAAAUCAGUUGUCCUUAUAUUUGUGGGUCUAUUUCUGGACUCUAUACUUUGUUCCUUUGAUAUACAUUUCUUCCUUGAAGGCAAUAAUGCACUGUUUUGGUUAAUGUAAGUUUUUAAUGAAACAUAAAUUAGGUAGUGUUUGUCCUCUAACUUUGUUAUUUUACAAAGUUGUUUUUCAUAGUUUAGGGUCAUUUGCAUUUCCACAUGAUUUCUGGAAUAAGUUUAUUGAUUUCUUCUUAAAAAUAUAUGCUAACAUUUCUAUUGGAGUUGCAUAGAAUCUAAACAUCAGUUUGAGGAGAGUAGAUAUCUUGACAAUACUGAGGGUUCUGACUCAUGAUGAUGGCAUUUCUCUUCAUUUAUUUAGGUCUUCUUUAACUUCUCUCAGCAAUGUUUUGUGGUGUUCAAUGUACAGGCCUUGCACACAUGUGGACAGAUUAUCCUCAUGUAUUUCAUACAUUUUGAUGCUAUUAUAAAUGGCAGUAUUUCUUUUUUUAGGCUAGAGUGCAGUGGUAUGAUCACAACUCACUAUAGCUUCGGGCUUCUGGGCUCAAGUGAUCCACCCGUCUCAGCCUGCCGAGCAGGUGGGACCACAAGUACGUGCCACUAUGCCUGACUAAUUAAAAAAUUUAAAAAAUUUUUUUAAUAGAGAUAGGGUCUUGCUUUGUUGCCCAGGCUGGUCCCAAACUCCUGGUCCCAAACUAUCCUCCCACCUUGGCCUCCCAAAGUGCUGAGAUUACAGGCAUGAGCCACCAUGCCUGGCCUAAUGGCAGUAUUUUCAAUUGCAAUUUCAAUGUAUUAUAUUUUUACUGAAUAGUCAGAAGCUGAGUGUUUAACAGUAGCUGCUGGGGAACCUUUUUGAUUGAAAGCACAGGCUACUCUAGGGUAGAAAAGAUGCUUAAUACUUAAUGUCUGUAUUAGUCAAGGUUCUACAGAGAAACAGAACCAAUAAGAUAUCUAUAUAUCCAUAUAUCUUUAGAUAUAUAUAAAGAUAUUUAUUUUAAGGAACCAGCGUCUGUGAUUCUGGACGCUAGGUGAGUCCAAAAUUUGAUGGGGGAGGCCAGCAGGCUUCAGACUCAGGAAAGAGUUGAAGUUAAAGUCCAAAGGCAGUGUACUGAUAAACUAGGAAGAGCCAAUAUUACAGAUGAAAUCUGAAGAGUGAGCUGGCAGAAUUCCCUCUUCUUUGGAGGAUAUCAGCUUUUUAUUCUAUUUAGGACUCCGGCUGACUGGAUGAGACCCACCCACACUGGGGAGGGCAAUCUGCUUUACUUAGUCUGCCAAUUUAAAUGUAAAUUUCAUCCAAAAACACCCUCACGGAAACAUCCAAAAUAACGUUUGACCAAAUAUCUGGGCACUGUGACCCAGCCAAGUUGACACAUCAAAUUAGUCAUCACAACAUACAUUUGCCAGUAUUUCCACUAUCAGCUUUUAUAAGUCAUUGGUAAUGUACUGAAACCAGGGAGAAAAAUGUCACUAAGACAUUUUUCUAAAGGUCAUCUCCAGAGAAAUGAAUUACUAAAAUAAAAUAGUUUUGUAGCUCUUGACUUUCUGUGUGUGGGUAGAUUUUAAUUGUGGAGUUUUCUUUUUAUACUUCCAAACAAAUCUACCUUGAUGAAUUCUUGGAUUCUUGGGUGAUGAGAAAAAGAGGGAGAGAGCAUGUAUGUAUGUGGGUAUCUAGGUAUGUAUGAAGGUGUAUUUUGCUGAAGCUGCAGGAAUGUUUAUUGUGAGAAAAAAUUGAGGUUAAUUACUGUGCAUCAUGUCAGUCCUUCAGUUCUUAGCACAUGUUAGGAAUAAGAUCGAGGAGGUGGUUGGUUUUUUGUUUUGUUUUGUUUUUUCCUCCCAGCUUCCCUUCGCUAGCAUGGUUACCAUGGUGACUCAGUGAUUGCUAUGGGUUUUGGUGCAGAAUGAAAAUCUAUUUAUGAUUCUUGCUUGAAUCAUUUACUACUGUGAUAGUUGUCAGGGUUGCUUUUAUAAUUCUGUCACUUGGUUUAGAUUUAUUAAUUGACAUUUGACUGUUGGAUAGAGCUAUGUGUAUGUGUGUGUGUGUGUG